rnacentral:rRNA from 1 species
AUACAGAGGGUGCGAGCGUUAAUCGGAAUUACUGGGCGUAAAGCGCGCGUAGGCGGCUUAUUAAGUCAGAUGUGAAAUCCCCGGGCUCAACCUGGGAACUGCAUCUGACACUGGUAAGCUAGAGUUUUGGAGAGGGAAGUAGAAUUUCAGGUGUAGCGGUGAAAUGCAUAGAGAUCUGAAGGAAUACCAGUGGCGAAGGCGACUUCCUGGCCAAAAACUGACGCUGAGGUGCGAAAGCGUGGGUAGCAAACGGGAUUAGAUACCCCAGUAGUCC